CAAAGUUCGUCGGGGGACACCAGGCAGGACUCCAUCAAGGUGGUCGUCUCCGAGGGCGGCGUGACUCAGGAAGACGGGUCUGACAGAUCGGGAGG